CAGGUAAAUGAUGGUGUGUCUAUUAGUUCCUCUCGUCUUGACUGUCCUCCUGACUGAGACGUCUGCUUCACUGUCAUCUUCAGGGACGGAGCAGGUCUUUUCAUGCCCACCUCGGUGGCUCCUGUUUGGUCAGAGAUGCUUCGCUUUCUACCCUGUGUGGAGCUCCUGGAGCACUGCCGAUUUAUUGUGCUCUCAGGCAGCUGGUAAACUGGCGUCGCUUCACACACCAGAGGAGAGACAGUUUGUC